GUUAUGUUUUUGCCCAAAGCUAUUUAUGCUUUUUGAUACUACAACAUGAUCAUCUCUUUUUUUUUUGUCAGGUGCAUGACUCUGAGGAACCUUGUAAUGUCUUCAGGGCCUGUGGCUGUGGGUCACCUCCAGCAGGCGUUACAGUGGCAGUAUGAGUUGUUGCGGGGCAGCAAUGUAAAUAAUUCCUGUGCUGACAGUGUUGCAGACAGAACGGUCAAGGAUAUUCAUGACGGCACUACAGAGUGCAACCUCAUUAAACGUGAAGUGUCUCCUUCGACUGCAGGGAUCGUGUCAGCAGAGGGCAAACCCCCUGCCCUCAGCUCAUUUGACUCAGGCAUUGAUGGAGUGGGGAGCAGCCACCUGGAGGCCUGGGGCGGGAGGGAAGGAGUGGAAGGUCUGUCUAGAUUAGCUGGCAACAGGAACUCCGUGAAACAGGGCAUGAGCCAUCCUCAAAUCCACAAAGAGAACAUCUCCAGUGUUUCAAAUCCUGAGAAUCUCCGAGAGGAGGGUGACUUUGGCUCUGUGGGAAACUCCUCCAGGGCCUGCAUCCAGAUCGUCCCCGAAGUAACCAAGGAUUCCCUCAACUUUGAGAUCAAAGUGAAGCGCUCAGCUGCGCUGCCUAAUAAUCCUUGGCUGAGCUUGCCAGUAGACGACCUGGAAAGCUCUUAUACUGUCACCAUCACGCACAACCCAACACCACAACGGACAGACCUACAGUUCCACCAUCCCUCAGACCCCUACUCCCACAGGUCUCAACAUGAGCCCACAGGGACGGACAUGUUGAGCAGUCCACAGAGCAUGAACUGGAUAUUACAUUCACAAAGCAGUUUUGAAGAUUUUGAAUUAAGUCCCAUCUGCAACAUACUCUCCAGCACUAAUACAGAAGUAAGAGAGAAGUCCAUCUGCACCACAGAGGGGAUUCCUACUCUUCUCUGGGAUUCAUAUGACCUCCAUGACCAGGAUCAGGAUGCUGGGGACAGUUUGAUUGAUAUCUCCCAAAAGGACUGGGAUGAGAAGGAGCAGGAGGGUUUGAUGGAGGUGGAGAAGAUCCUGGGCCGGGCUGAUGAAAUUCUGGAGGAAGAAGAAAAUGUUUUGGCCCAGGAGGCUGUGCUGGAGGCCCUGUUGAGGUCAGAGGACAGGCCCAUUUGUUUGCCACAGUGGGACAGUGAGGACCAGCUUCCAAUGAUGUCAUCAGGUGAGUUGACUGACGCUGGUGUUCUUGGCCGUGAAGACUAUCUGGACCUUGCAGAAUCUGACAGCCUCAUCAAACCCAGAUCAGCUGGAUCUGCAAGAAGAACUUCUGGAGUUAAUGGGCACCUCACUGAAGAUAUAGGAGCAUUUCCCAGCAGGCUGGAUCUGCUGACGAAGCUAAGAACAGUCCACAUUCUGGAUGAGCUGAUCAUGGAGGAGAACCUGAAGAUCCGUGAACUUAGAUGCUGUGAAGAAAACCCCAACAAUGAACUGCUGGGGAGGAACCCCUCAGAUACAAACGAGUCGUCGAAUGUGAGUAAAGAGAGGGAGGCUUUCCGGUUACAGGUGGAAAAGGAGAAAAGGGAGGUGGAGCUUGAGGAGGUGUGGUCAAAGAGAAGAAGCAUAGAAACACGGCUCGAAAGGUUGUAA
ensembl:lncRNA